rnacentral:rRNA from 1 species
AACGAACGCUGGCGGCAUGCCUAACACAUGCAAGUCGAACGAGACCUUCGGGUCUAGUGGCGCACGGGUGCGUAACGCGUGGGAACCUGCCCUUAGGUUCGGAAUAACUCCCCGAAAGGGGUGCUAAUACCGGAUAAUGUCUUCGGACCAAAGAUUUAUCGCCUUUGGAUGGGCCCGCGUUGGAUUAGCUAGUUGGUAGGGUAAAAGCCUACCAAGGCGACGAUCCAUAGCUGGUCUGAGAGGAUGAUCAGCCACACUGGGACUGAGACGCGGCCCAGACUCCUACGCGAGGCAGCAGUGGGGAAUAUUGGACAAUGGGCGAAAGCCUGAUCCAGCAAUGCCGCUUGAGUGAUGAAGGCCUUAGGGUUGUAAAGCUCUUUUACCCGGGAUGAUAAUGACAGUACCGGGAGAAUAAGCUCCGGCUAACUCCGUG